CCUACGGGAGGCAGCAGUGGGGAAUAUUGCUCAAUGGGCGGAAGACUGACGCAGCGACGCCGCGUGAGUGACGAAGGCCUUCGGUAUGUAAAGCUCUUUCAACAGGGAAGAAAAUGACUCUACGUGACUGAGUAUGUAUGGACAAUUCCGGUACAGCAGGCCCGGUAACACUCCGGGGCCGAGGGUUAUCCGGAUUGACUGGGGGUAAAGGGGGCGUAGGUGGCUGGGCAAGUCAGGAGUGAAAGGCGAGGGCCCAACCGUUGGAAUGCUAUUGAAACUAUAAAGUUGGAGUGCAGGAGAGGUAUGCAGAAUUCCUGGUGUAGCGGUGAAAUGCGUAGAUAUUAGGAGGAAUACCGUUAGCGAAGGCGGCUUACUGGACUGAAACUGACGCUGAGGCGCGAAAGCGUGGGUAGCAAACAGGAUUAGAUACCCUAGUAGUC
rnacentral:rRNA from 1 species